rnacentral:rRNA from 1 species
AACGAACGCUGGCGGCAUGCCUAACACAUGCAAGUCGAACGAUACCUUCGGGUCUAGUGGCGCACGGGUGCGUAACGCGUGGGAACCUGCCCUUAGGUUCGGAAUAACUCCCCGAAAGGGGUUCUAAUACCGGAUAAUGUCUUCGGACCAAAGAUUUAUCGCCUUUGGAUGGGCCCGCGUUGGAUUCGCUAGUUGGUAGGGUAAAAGCCUACCAAGGCGACGAUCCAUAGCUGGUCUGAGAGGAUGAUCAGCCACACUGGGACUGAGACACGGCCCAGACUACUACGGGAGGCAGCAGUGGGGAAUAUUGGACAAUGGGCGAAAGCCUGAUCCAGCAAGGCCGGGUGAGUGAUGAAGGCCUUAGGGUUGUAAAGCUCUUUUACCCGGGAUGAUAAUGACAGUACCGGGAGAAUAAGCUCCGGCUAACUCCGUG